GCUGUAGCCAGGCUCAUACUUUUCAGUUUGUUGUCUUUCUUCCACUUCAUGCGGCGGUUCUGGAACCAGAUUUUGAUCUGACGCUCGGACAGGCAGAGCGCGUGGGCGAUCUCGAUGCGUCGCCGCCUGGUCAGUUUGCAGUCCCGUGGGUAAGCACGAACAUUCCAGCUCCCAGAGAAAUGUUGCCUAAGUCAUGCUCAGCUCAGGAGUGAAAAUCUCCAGAAGGUGAUGAUCUUAGGAAUGGCAUUUGCCUGUAUGAGGAGGAGCCUCCAGGUUUGUGGCUGGGAUGAGUGCAGGUCUGCAGACUGAGAAAAGGCUGAGGAUAAUGCGACAAAAGACCCAUUCCGUUGUCUAAUCUACACCCGGAGACUAAGACACAGUAGAGAGCAUCAGCACGGGCCAGAAUCCCACCGAACCGAACCGCGUCGAGGCUCCAAACAAACCCACAGGGCUCGGGGAGCAUCAAGAGGCUAGCUGUGCCGGAGCCGCCUGUCCCCGAACGGACGCCGCCUCCUUGCCCUCGGCUGGCCUCUGCAGAGAUUCCAGGCCCUACUGAGACCAAGAUGUCCCUCAGCGCCACCGCCCCUCGUGCCAAUGCAGCCGGGAAAUCGCCGCUACCCACACUGGGCAAGAGAACCGCGCGGGGGCAGCCGGGGGAGGCCGGGAGCAGGGAGAGAUGGAGGGAGCUCAGAAGGUUCCAGGUUGGCAUAACUAAAGAGCAGGCUGAACAUCUCGAAGAGGAAGCCCUGGCGGUUGACGCCGCCGCCAAGCUCGCUGUGGUCACCUCGGCCACCCCAGCCCGGUAAACUCGCUCGGUUCCCGCUCACGGGACUGGUUUUUUGUAUAGUUUUAAAGUUUCAUAUGAAUCACCCUUGUCAAUUAAAAAAUGAAAUAUAUUUUAAUACAUAAACUAAAAAUAAAUUGAAAUAAAUUCAAAAAA